GUGUUGGGUCAGUGUUGGGUCAGUAUUUAAGGUGUUGGGUCAGUAUUUAAGGUGUUGGGUCAGUAUUUAAGGUGUUGGGUCAGUAUUUAAGGUGUUGGGUCAGUGUUUAAGGUGUUGGGUCAGUGUUUAAGGUGUUGGGUCAGUAUUUAAGGUGUUGGGUCAGUGUUUAAGGUGUUG